rnacentral:misc_RNA from 1 species
UUAUUUUUAUUUUUUUUAUUUAUUGUCAACACUAUCAUCACUAACACCCUGCCAACUCUGCCAGCCGCGGCCACCGCCACUACCACCCUCACCUGGCCACCACUACUACCACCACAUUGCUGCUACCACCACUGCCCCCACUCCCAUCUUGCCACCACUAUUGCUACCAUCACCCCCGCUUGGCCACCAACACCACUGUUUGGCCAUCGUCAUCGCCCCCACCACUACCAUUACCACCCCACAAUCACUUAGCCACUGUCAGUACCACCUUCUCCACCACCACUGCCCUAUUACCACUGUCGCCACCACUACUUGACCACUGGUUGUCAGUCCGUAGCCACUACCAUCACUACCACCACUUAGUCACCACUAGCAGCACCACAAGUUAGUUACCGCCACUACCACUUAGUGGGGGUGGUGAUAGUUGAAAUAUUAAUAAUAUUGAAUUAGAAUAAUAUCUAAUAAAAUAGCAUUAUAUAUUAAAAUUUCAUUAUUAAUUUGAUUGCAUUCCAUCGAUAUAUAUAUGUAAACAAACACGAGAUUGUAAUGGUAAUUACAUUUCAGUUUUGUUCUUCCAAAUAAAGUAAUGUAAUGCUUCACACAUUGCAUAAUAUUACAACUUUGAUUCCAUUACAUAGUUAAUUACAUUUCAUUACUCCAUGUUGUACCAAAUGUAGCCUAAUAGACUACUAUCCAACAUUUUGGCUUACUAAAUGUCUUCAUCCAGCUCUAUGUAUGUGCCUUUUUUUCCUUUUUCUCCUAUGCAUAUGUAUAGUGAUUGCUUCCAUAGGGAUUCGUAUAUGGUUGGAUGAAAUGUAUUCAUAUUCUUAAGGUAUCUGAUACCCCUUUAAAUCUGUAGUGCUGUUGACAUUUUCUUUUUGUUGUCAGUUUAUCCUGUGAUGGUUCUCGUUCUGAUGGUUAAAUUUUCUUUUGAUUCAUUGGUAUCCAUGGUAUUUCCUUAGUUACAGAGUUAUGCAAAGGGUUUUCUUCUCUAUGCUAUUUGGUCAGACCUGUCAUUCACCAAUACAGUUGGACUUCUCAACUAAAGCAUACUGUUGUCUUCCUUAUGAUGGAUGCCUAAUUUAACUGAUGAAUAUAAGUAUUUUGUUGCUGAUAUGCAUACUGAGAUGAUAAUUAUGUGCCGUUGCUUGUUUUCAGUGUUUUAGUUCAUAGUGGUGGUGUGCACGGUGGGCACUAUUAUGCAUAUAUCCGGCCGACCCUCGCAGAUCAAUGGUUUAAAUUUGAUGAUGAGCGGGUAACAAAG